GUGCCAGCCGCCGCGGUAAUACCGGCAGCCCGAGUGAUGGCCGAUCUUAUUGGGCCUAAAGCGUCCGUAGCUGGCUGCGCAAGUCCGUCGGGAAAUCCAUUCGCCCAACGGGUGGGCGUCCGACGGAAACUGUAUAGCUUGGGACCGGAAGGCUCGAAGGGUACGUUCGGGGUAGGAGUGAAAUCCCAUAAUCCCGCACGGACCACCGAUGGCGAAAGCACCUCGGGAAAACGGAUCCUACAGUGAGGGACGAAAGCCAGGGUCUCCAACCGGAUUAGAAACCCUGGUAGUCC
rnacentral:rRNA from 1 species